rnacentral:rRNA from 1 species
UACAGAGGGGGCUAGCGUUGUUCGGAAUUACUGGGCGUAAAGGGCGCGUAGGCGGCCUACUAAGUCGGACGUGAAAUCCCUCGGCUCAACCGAGGAACUGCGUCCGAUACUGGUGGGCUUGAAUCCGGGAGAGGGAUGUGGAAUUCCAGGUGUAGCGGUGAAAUGCGUAGAUAUCUGGAGGAACACCGGUGGCGAAGGCGGCAUCCUGGACCGGUAUUGACGCUGAUGCGCGAAAGCCAGGGGAGCAAACGGG